rnacentral:rRNA from 1 species
UACAGAGGUCUCAAGCGUUGUUCGGAUUCAUUGGGCGUAAAGGGUGCGUAGGUGGCGCCGUAAGUCAGGUGUGAAAUCUCGGGGCUUAACUCCGAAACUGCAUUUGAUACUGCGGUGCUUGAGGACUGGAGAGGGGACUGGAAUUUACGGUGUAGCGGUGAAAUGCGUAGAUAUCGUAAGGAAGACCAGUGGCGAAGGCGGGUCUCUGGACAGUUCCUGACACUGAGGCACGAAGGCCAGGGGAGCAAACGGG